rnacentral:ribozyme from 1 species
UCUGUCGAGAAAGUUUGGGGGCAUUGAUCAAUAUCACAAAACAGAUAAAUUAGGGGAGGGGACUUAUGGAGUGGUACACAAAGCUGAGAACAAAGAGACUGGUGAAAUC